GACGUAGGGCGCGAGCGUUGUCCGGAUUUAUUGGGCGUAAAGGGCUCGUAGGCGGUUUGUCGCGUCGGGAGUGAAAACCCAGGGCUUAACCCUGGGCUGGCUUCCGAUACGGGCAGACUAGAGGUAUGCAGGGGAGAACGGAAUUCCUGGUGUAGCGGUGAAAUGCGCAGAUAUCAGGAGGAACACCGGUGGCGAAGGCGGUUCUCUGGGCAUUACCUGACGCUGAGGAGCGAAAGUGUGAGGAGCGAACAGG
rnacentral:rRNA from 1 species